rnacentral:rRNA from 1 species
GUAGUCCACGCCGUAAACGAUGGGUACUAGAUGUUGUGGGAAUUGACCCCUACAGUGUCGACGCUAACGCAUUAAGUACCCCGCCUGGGAAGUACGGUCGCAAGAUUAAAACUCAAAGGAAUUGACGGGGGCCCGCACAAGCGGUGGAGCAUGUGGUUUAAUUCGAUGCAACGCGAAGAACCUUACCUGGAUUUGACAUCCUCGGACAUCCCCAGAGAUGGGGCUUCCCCGAAAGGGGCCGGGAGACAGGUGCUGCAUGGCUGUCGUCAGCUCGUAUCGUGAGAUGUCGGGUUAAGUCCCUUAACGAGCGCAACCCUUGUUCUUAGUUGCCAUCAUUCAGUUGGGCACUCUAAGGAGACUGCCGGUGUUAAACCGGA